rnacentral:rRNA from 1 species
UACAGAGGGGGCAAGCGUUAUUCGGAAUUAUUGGGCGUAAAGGGCGCGUAGGCGGCCUGGCAAGUGGAAGGUGAAAUCCCUCGGCUUAACCGAGGAACUGCCUUCCAAACUGCUUGGCUUGAGUCCGGGAGGUGAGUGGAAUUCCCAGUGUAGCGGUGAAAUGCGUAGAUAUUGGGAUGAACACCAGUGGCGAAGGCGGCUCACUGGACCGGAACUGACGCUGAUGCGCGAAAGCGUGGGGAGCAAACGGG